rnacentral:sRNA from 1 species
GUUUCUCCGGGGACAUCCGAUAAAAUGAAAAGAUGAGACUAGCAUAAUCCUGUACAAGGAAGACUUGAACAAAUCGUGUAAUGGUCCAACCUUUU